rnacentral:rRNA from 1 species
GACUCGGCGAGAAGUCCAUUGAACCUUAUCAUUUAGAGGAAGGAGAAGUCGUAACAAGGUUUCCGUAGGUGAACCUGCGGAAGGAUCAUUGUCGAGACCGAAAUAUACACCGAGCAACUCGGAGAACUCGUGAAACGAUGUGCGGCGAUCGCCGCGGAACGACCGUUCGACCUGCGCAUCGCCUCCUCUUUUCGGGGCAGGCUCUGCGGCGGAGGACGGAUGAGAACACAAACCGGCGCAGCAUCGCGCCAAGGGAAAGCUGAAAGGCACGAGCCCGGCGUUGGGCUCGUUGGUGUGGAGUGCUGUUGCACGCCAUACAACGGACACGACUCUCGGCAAUGGAUAUCUCGGCUCUCGCAUCGAUGAAGAGCGCAGCGAAAUGCGAUACGUGGUGCGAAUUGCAGAAUCCCGCGAACCAUCGAGUCUUUGAACGCAAGUUGCGCCUGAGGCCAGCAGGCCGAGGGCACGUCUGCCUGGGCGUCAAGCUUCAUGUCGCUCCGCGCCAGCUCCGUUCUUGCCUGAUGGGUGUGACGGUCGUGGCCCGGAUGUGCAGAGUGGCCCGUCGUGCCGGUCGGCGCGGCGGGUUGAAGAGCGGGCUACGUCUCGCCGGCCGCGAACAACUAGGGCUGGGUUGAAGCUAUGAGCGAUACCUGCGUUGUCUCGUGAUGGCCCGAGAGACGGAUUUCUGCCCUCAAGGUGAUCCCAACCAAUGCGCCGGCUUGGAUGCAUCGGCCUUGGAAUGCGACCCCAGGAUGGGCGAGGCCACCCGCUGAGUUUAAGCAUAUC